GCAGUAGCCGCGGUAAUACAGAGGGUGCGAGCGUUAAUCGGAUUUACUGGGCGUAAAGCGUGCGUAGGCGGCUUCUUAAGUCGGAUGUGAAAUCCCUGAGCUUAACUUAGGAAUUGCAUUCGAUACUGGGAAGCUAGAGUAUGGGAGAGGAUGGUAGAAUUCCAGGUGUAGCGGUGAAAUGCGUAGAGAUCUGGAGGAAUACCGAUGGCGAAGGCAGCCAUCUGGCCUAAUACUGACGCUGAGGUACGAAAGCAUGGGGAGCAAACAGGAUUAGAUACCCGCGUAGUCCCUGUCUCUUAUAC
rnacentral:rRNA from 1 species